rnacentral:lncRNA from 1 species
UUAUAAAAGCAAGACACUGUACGAACCUUCACAACAUCAUCUCACUUUAAAUUGUAGUUUUCUACUCCGUUUAUGUGAUCUCGGCGUCUCGUCGGAGCACACAUACUCCGGCCAUCUCCUUGUUUGUGCUAAGCUUCGCAAAUCGUUGAUAGACGAAGUGAUCAAGAAAACAAGCUAGGAUGAACUUAGAAACCCAUCUUAGAAAUAAACAUUGUUUUGAUUACGUUUGAAUCUUGUAUGACAUUUUACUUUGAGCGAUUUGUUCGUCUCAUCCCGAUGUUUCCGCCAUCGGUUGGGGUGUGA